AGUGGGGAAUGACCAUAAGUCCACCUACAGUUUUGAUCAACUCUGCAUGACUUCUUCAGUCUGCAUACCAGAGAGUAUCCAACAUGAAGAGAGUGUCUGGACAAUUGACAAGGGGAUGUGUGGCUGCAUCUGCUUAUGUGUGGAAUACAAGGCAUAGAAGGAGAGGAAAAAUAUGAGGAAUCUCUCCCCAAACCAAAUCCUGUCAGCAUUUUUGCUCAUGGAACUACAGUCUGAAGGAGCAUCCAAGUUUCUAAUCUUGUACCAUGGGGUGAAGAUUGCCUAACAUGGUGAGUAUGGCUUUGCAGAGUGGUUGCUCUAUCCUCUCCAUGCUGUGGCAUUACAGCUGGCUCCAUGGGGAAGCACUGAACGGCCUGAAACUACCUUCC